CUCCUAAAUGUCCUAGGCUGCACGCGCACUACACUGACGCAUUAAACGAGUUUGAUUGCCUUCUGGCAACCUAUCUUGAAGAGGAUGGGAAAUCUUUUGAACUUGCGUCGUGAUGAGGAUCGAUGAUUGCAAUUAUUCUCCUUGAAUGAGGAAUGCCUAGUAGGCGCAAGUCAUCAGCUUGCACUGAUUACGUCCCUGCCAUUUGUACACACCGCCCGUCGUUGCUACCGAUUGGCUGUGGGAUAGAGCUUGGAGGAGGAUUCCUGUUCUUGGCAACAAGUUCAGGGUCCGAAGCCAAGCAAUAUUUCUCAGCUAGAGGAAGCAAAAGUCGUAACA
rnacentral:rRNA from 1 species